GGCAGAGGGGAGGAGGCAGGGGAGGAGGGGCGCGCGCGCCGGGUGGGGAGCCACGGAGGGCUUCGCCGCUGCCUCCCUCCCUCCCUCCGCAGCUUGACCCGGUAGUGAAGGCAGAGAGAGAGGCAGGCUGGGUCCGCCUGGCAGCCUACGGGAGGAGGCGGGAGCCGGGAAGGAGGGGAGCCGAGGCCCGGCGUGGGGAGGCCGGCAGGAAGGGCCUCGAGCCCAGUGCGGACCUUUCUUCAGCCUCUGUGCUACCGAGCCGCGCGCCAGGCUCCUGUGCGAGGAGGACGCGCUGACUCCCUCCGACCUGGGCUCCGAUGGAGCAGAAAUAGCGGGACCUGGACUUGUGGCGCGCCUGGUGCCACAUCUCGGGCUCUGCGAGCGUCCUGGCGCGGGAUCCUGCCUAAUGUCUUACAAUAACAGAAUGCAGGAGAGCACAUAUCAAUGAAGAAAAGACAAAAUGUACUUAUCCAUGAAGCUGAGGUUAAGAAACCAGUGUCUUCAAGAGCCAAGGACAGCACUGGGUCUGUGCAGAGUUGAGAGAUGGUGAUGACAUGUGGUUUCCAGCAUU
rnacentral:lncRNA from 1 species